UUUCUUUCUUUCUUUCUUUCUUUCUUUCUUUCUUUCUUUCUUUCUUUCUUUCUUUCUUUCUUUCUUUCUUUCUUCCUACCAUAAGAAGCUAUAUGAACUAGUAUUGGAUAACAGUUAAUUAAAAGUAGAACUUACAGUCAUGAUAGGGAAGACUGUAGAGGUCUGAACAUUACAGCUUUGGGUGGAAAUGAACAAGAUUUCAUAAAAUUUACAGGUGAGGAAGCCAAUGCUCUUGGAUUAGCAAUUGGUCCUUUAGAAUAUGAGCCUUGACAAGUAAAAUACCUUGAUUAUUUUUUACCAUUUUUCUUUUUGGUACAAUGGAAAAAAAAAUCAAUUCCUUAUAGUAAUUGUAUGUGGGUGAUCGUUACCACCAAAAUGAUAGUGAUCAUUUAAAAUAUAUUUUAAAGUGAAUCUUGCAAGAUUGCAACGGCAUUUAAAAAUCUUUGCUUAGUUUGAGCAUUUUCAUUUGCUGUCAUUUCUUUUAACUAAUUGCUAUUUCAAACAGUUCCUGUCCAGAAUACUUAUGGGUAAUAUAGCAUAGGAGCAAAUUUGAAGCCAACUUGAAAGAAAAAAAGGAAGUUCAAGAGACAGAAAGCUAAGUAUAAAAUAGGAAAACUUCAUGAUAAGUUUUUUUUUUAUGAUAAGUUUUAAACAGCAUCUUGCUACAAAUUCCCAACCCAAUAUAUACUAGCAUAUUGGUCCAGGCAGGUUUUAAGCACAAUAGAGAAGAUAAGGCUUAUAGUUCAUUCAUUCACUUCCUACUUCAAUCGUUCAAAUGCUGAAAAUGUCCUAGAAUUUAAGGAAUUCUUAGUAGAUUAACCUGAGGAAUUUUUCUUUGUUCUAGUGUAGAGCAAAUAUUUGUUUAUUGAGAAAUCUAUAGAUCUUUUCACCAUUUGCAUAAAAUUUGCCAGCAUCCACCUGUAAAGAGAUGAAUACAGGCUGAUAGUCUGUUCCUGCAGGCUCCUAACUCAACUCAGUGGAUGUUACAGAGUCCUGGCUUGAGCUUUACAACUUUACCUCAACCUUUCAUGACAAACAGAUGAGAUUUUUUUGAAGCAUAGGAUAUCCCAUCAUAUACUCUAAUUAAUUGUACCCAUCCUUUUUACUUGUCUUAGACAACUUUAGAUGAGUGUGAUCACACCUGAGCAUUGGCAGGAGGCUCAGUCCCACUUGGAGGGAAGACUGUAGCCAUAUUGCCCAUCCAGAUCCAAGCCAGGUAAAUAAAGUUGGAGAUACCAUUGAGAUUAACUGUAAAGAGGUGCUUCUCUUUCAGGUGGGAGAUUGAUUUGUUUACUUUCCAUGUUUUGGGAAUCCAGCUAAAGCAGUCACACAUACUUU
rnacentral:lncRNA from 1 species